GAUGAACGCUGGCGGCGUGCCUAAUACAUGCAAGUCGAGCGAACAGACGAGGAGCUUGCUCCUCUGACGUUAGCGGCGGACGGGUGAGUAACACGUGGAUAACCUACCUAUAAGACUGGGAUAACUUCGGGAAACCGGAGCUAAUACCGGAUAAUAUAUUGAACCGCAUGGUUCAAUAGUGAAAGACGGUUUUGCUGUCACUUAUAGAUGGAUCCGCGCCGCAUUAGCUAGUUGGUAAGGUAACGGCUUACCAAGGCAACGAUGCGUAGCCGACCUGAGAGGGUGAUCGGCCACACUGGAACUGAGACACGGUCCAGACUCCUACGGGAGGCAGCAGUAGGGAAUCUUGCGCAGUGGGCGAAAGCCUGACGGAGCAACGCCGCGUGAGUGAUGAAGGUCUUCGGAUCGUAAAACUCUGUUAUUAGGGAAGAACAAAUGUGUAAGUAACUAUGCACGUCUUGACGGUACCUAAUCAGAAAGCCACGGCUAACUACGUG
rnacentral:rRNA from 1 species